rnacentral:snRNA from 1 species
GAGCCCCGUCGUGCCCGGA